rnacentral:rRNA from 1 species
GACGAGCCACACGAACGUUAUUCGGAAUUACUGGGCUUAAAGGGCGCGUAGGCUGCGCGGAAAGUUGGGUGUGAAAUCCCUCGGCUCAACCGAGGAACUGCGCCCGAAACUGCCGUGCUCGAGGAAGAUAGAGGUAAGCGGAACUUACGGUGGAGCGGUGAAAUGCGUUGAUAUCGUAAGGAACACCUGUGGCGAAAGCGGCUUACUGGGUCUUUUCUGACGCUGAGGCACGAAAGCUAGGGGAGCAAACGGG